AUGGCGCUGUCGGUGCACGCCGCCGCCGCCGCCGUCGCCGCCCCGCGUCUCCUCCCCCCUACCCCGCUCCACCGCUCUGCUCCCGGUACGGCGCCUCCUCCCCUCCCCCUCCUCCGCGCCUUCGCCUCCCUCCGCUCCGGCCCCAGCUCCUCCCGGUGGACGCGGCGGGCGAGCGUGCGGGUGCGCGCGGGUGCCGGCGGCGGAGGCGGGCGGAGGAGGGAGUCCCCGUACGAGGUGCUCGGCGUGGCGCCGUCCGCCGCGCCCGCGGAGAUCAAGCGCGCGUACCGGCGGCUCGCGCUCAAGUAUCACCCGGACGUCAACAAGGAGGCGAAUGCUCAGGAGAAGUUUCUGAGGAUCAAGCACGCCUACAACACGCUGAUGAACUCGGAGAGCCGAUCCAAGUACGCGAGCAGCAGCAGCAGCCCUGACUCUUCGUGGUCUCCCGGGAGCAGCAAGCCAGCUGACGCAGAAGAGGAUUUCUAUGGGUUUGGGGAUUUCCUUAAAGACCUGCAAACAGAAUUUCAGAACUGGGAGGCUGGCCUGAACUCAGAGCAGAAACCUAAAAGCUUGUGGGAAGAACUGUCAGCUAUUGGCGAGGAGUUUGUGGAGUUCCUGGAGAACGAACUGAACAUCGACGGCUCGGGCACCGAGGAAGACGAUGGGAACGAUCCGUACACGCAGUUUGGAGGGAAAGGCGGAAAUGCUCAGGGUGACAAGAAGGGAACAAGCAGCUCCGACGAUGGCGUGUCGGACAUAGAGUCCGUCCUUGAGCAGCUGAAGAAGGAGCUCGGGCUCAGCUGAACUGUUGCCUGUUGACAACACACAACGAUGGCAACUGCAGCCACCGUGAUUGGUACCAGCCCGAUGUUCAUAUGGAGGUCCCCUGUUCUCCCGGAUCGGUGGCGGUAAUGGGAGGGAGGCAGCGGAUGGCGACCCCGGAGGCGGAGGCUGCUGCGGCGGCGGCGGACGCGGUGGCGCUGGCGGUUGCGAGGGACGAGGCGGCGGAGGAGGACGACGACGAGGCGGCCGCGGCGGCGGCGGGGGAAGGAGGGCUGGAGGUGGUGGUGCCGAUCGGGGCGCAGAAGCACGACCCGGCGUGGAAGCACUGCCUCAUGGUGCGCCUGGCCGGCCGGGACCGCCUAAAGUGCGUCUACUGCGGCAAGCACUUCCUCGGCGGCGGCAUCCACCGCUUCAAGGAGCACCUCGCGCGCCGCCCGGGGAACGCCUGCUGCUGCCCCGACGUCCCCGCCGACGUCGAGGCCCUCAUGCACCGCAGCCUCGACGAGGUCGCCGCCAAGAAGCUGCGCAAGCGCGCCCUCGCCGCCGCCAUGGCCGCCGUCGCCUCCGCCGACCCCGCCGCCUUGCCCGCGGCCUCCUCGCCUUCCCCCUCCCCCUCCGCCUCCAACGGCGAACUGGCCAGCCCCAUCCACGUCCUCCCACUCAACCAGGCCCCCCGCGCCGCCGAGGAGGCCCCUCCCAUGGGGACGGGGUCGGGGUGGACCGGCGGCGGCGCCACCAAGAGGAGGAAGAAGGCGCUGGCCGUGAGGCGUGCUCCUGCUUCUGUCCCGCAGGCCCAGCAGCACCCUCUCCAGCCUGCUACUCCUGCUCCCCAGACGCAGCCUCCUCACCAGACGAUCAUGGCGCUUGAUGCGACAGCAACAGCACUGCCGCUGUCAAGGCAUGUCGAUCCGGCUGCGGGCUCGGACAGGGACCAGGUUUGCAUGGCUGUUGGGAGGUUCUUGUAUGAUGCCGGUGUGCCACUGGAGGCGGUGAAUUCCGUGCAUUUCCAGCCGAUGGUCGACGCUAUUUCCUCCAUGGGAGGGAAGCCUGAGGUGUUCUCAUACCAUGACUUCCGCGGCUGCGUCCUGAAGAAGUCGCUGGAUGAAGUGUCGGCUCAGUUAGAGUACUACAAGGGGUCAUGGACUCGCACGGGGUGCUCAGUGUUGUCCGAUGAGUGGACGACUGACAAGGGCAGGACCUUGAUGACCUUUUCGGUGUAUUGCCCUGAAGGCACCAUGUUUCUGAAAUCGGUUGACGCAACAGAUAUCGUCACAUCAUCAGACGCGCUGUUUGAGCUACUGAAGAGCGUUGUUGAGGAGGUUGGAGAGAAAAAUGUCGUCCAAGUGAUCACAAACAACUCUGAGAUUCAUGCAGCCGCAGGUAAAAGGCUAGGUGAAACAUUUCCUACACUGUUCUGGUCUCCAUGCACUUUCCGGUGCAUCGAUGGUAUGCUUCAAGAUUUCAGCAAGGAGACAGCAGUUAGUGAGAUCAUAAGCAACGCAAAGACCAUCACUGGAUUUUUGUACAGCAGUGCUCUUGCAUUGAGUUUGAUGAAGAAGCAUCUGCAGGGGAAGGAUCUGCUAGUUCCUGCAGAGACCCGUGCUGCCAUGAACUUCGUGACGCUGAAAAACAUGUACAGUGUGAAGGAGGAUUUGCAAGCCAUGAUCAGUUCAGAUGAAUGGGUACACUGCCUGCUGCCAAAGAUACCCGGAGGGAUAGAAGUGAGCAAUAUUGUUAGCAAUUCGCAAUUUUGGUCUUCAUGUGCCUUGGUUGUUCGUGCCACCGAACCACUUGUGCAUCUUCUUAAGCUGGUAGGUAGCAACAAGAGGCCUGCUAUGGGGUAUGUUUAUGCUGGAUUAUACAAAGCCAAAGCAGCAAUCAAGAAAGAGCUAGUGAAGAAGAGCGACUAUAUGCCUUACUGGAACAUUAUUGACCAGAGAUGGGACAGGCACAUGCAACGACCGCUUCAUUCAGCUGGUUUCUUCCUAAAUCCACUGUUUUUUGAUGGAAUUGGAGAUAACAUAUCGAAUGAGGUUUUCUCAGGAAUGCUAGACUGUGUAGAAAGGCUGGUGUCUGAUGUCAAAAUCCAAGAUAAAAUUCAGAAGGAGCUUAACAUGUAUCGGAGCGAGGCAGCUGGGGAUUUUCGUAGGCAAAUGGCUAUCCGAGCCCGGCGUACUUUACCUCCUGCUGAGUGGUGGUAUAUGUAUGGCGGAGCUUGCCCGAAUUUAACACGUUUGGCAGUACGUGUCCUCAGUCAGACCUCCAGCGCUAAAGGGUGUGAUCGGACACACAUUCCUUUCGAACAACUCCAUGACCAAAGAAUGAAUAUUUUUGAACGUCAACGAAUGCAUCAUCUCACCUUUGUUCAAUGCAACCUGCGGCUACAAUACAGGCAACAAUACAAGGCGAAGGCAUUUGAUCCAAUCUCGGUAGACUACAUAGACAUAGUUGAUGACUGGGUGGUGGAUAGAUCCGCACUGUUCUCGGGACCAGCAGAGCAGCCAAACUGGAUGGAGAUUAGUCAACCAUUCAACUGGACCUCAUCGGCAGGACCGGGCGAUGAAUUCGAGUCCUUCAUUGAAGGAGUCGAUGAUGAGAUGAUCCAAGGCGCUUCCCGAGGAAUCCAAGCCGAUGAUGACGACAAAGAUGAUUCCAAUGAUGUAGAGAAAACCCUGCCUGUGGGUGAACAAGUUGGCUCUAACUUGGAUAAACCUGUAAACUAAUGGAAGUAGAAGAGAACUGCUCGUGGUAUAUUUCCAUGUAGCAGUUAUAUGGAAGGAAAAAAAAAGUUUUCGAGUAGCAAAAGGAUAUAGGUGUUUCUUGUGUGAUUUAAAAUUUAAUGCAUAUUUCGAUGCUUGUGAUAUAUUCGAUGGAAAAAAGGAAGUUUUAUGCAAGCAGCAUACAAGGGAUAUAGAUGCUUCUUGUUCUGUGGUUUAGACUUUAAUGCAUCUUUCAGUGCUUGAGAUAGUUUCGUG
rnacentral:rRNA from 1 species